AGAGAGAGACAUGCGCGCAUAUCAAUAAGCGGAGGAAAAGAAACUAACUAGGAUUCCCUCAGUAACGGCGAGUGAAGCGGGAAGAGCUCAAAUUUGAAAUCUUCAAGGUUCUACCUUGACGAAUUGUAGUUUAAAGAAGUGUUUUCUGUUGGAGUUUUGGUAAAAGUUCUUUGGAAUAGGACAUCAUAGAGGGUGAGAAUCCCGUAUUUGACCAUUACUUUCCAGCUUUGUGAUACACUUUCAAAGAGUCGGAUUGUUUGGGAAUGCAGUCCAAAAUGGGUGGUAAAUUUCAUCUAAAGCUAAAUAUUGGCGAGAGACCGAUAGCGAACAAGUACCGUGAGGGAAAGAUGAAAAGAACUUUGAAAAGAGAGUUAAACAGUACGUGAAAUUGUCAAAAGGGAAGCGUUUGACACCAGUGUUGUUUUCUCGAAAAUCAAUUAAAAAUGGCCGGAUUUUGUGUUGUAUUGACCUUAAAAGCUUUCUUCACUCUUUUCUUGUCUUUUUUAAUGCACUUUUCGUUUAACAAGUCAACAUCAGUUUCUUUUGUUGUUAAAGGGUCAUUGGAAGGUGGCUUUCUUUUCGGAGAAAGUGUUUAUAGCCUUUGGCCUCUGCAAUCGGAGAGAUUGAGGUCUGCAGCGUAGAUCCUUCGGGGUUAGAUACAUUUGUGCUAAGUUAUAGCCUUUCAUAGACAACUUGUUGACUAUGAUCAGUCAUGUAGCUUACUCGCUUAUGCUAUUUUACCUACGCUUAGGAUGUUGACAGCAGUAUAGACUGU
rnacentral:rRNA from 1 species